GCUAGAGUAUCAUCCUCUUGGUAAAACUACGACUGAACACAGAUGAACAGCAAAGAAGUGGAUGCAACAACUGAACAAGUUGUUUGAGAGGUUUCUUUGGAUGUUUAGACAUUUCUUUCACCUACGUUUGCUUUUUACAGUGUUAUUUCAAGAGUUCCUCUGGAGCCCCAGUCAGCAGCCCCUGCUGUGUCUUCAUCGCCUAUAAUGAUAAACUGAUACUGGACACCGGGGAAGAGUCUAAUGUCACUGUAUUGUAUUGCUUUGCACCGGUGCCGGUACGCCUGUCUGCUUCUCCAAACUGGGGGCGUGCCGACCGUCAUCUACUGUUGGCUGCAGGUGAAGGAACAGAGCGGCGGUGCCGUCCUCCUGGUGGUGAGGGAGCCUCCAACUGUGGAGGAGCAGCACGGCUUCAUCACCUGAUACAGCCUGUCAGAAGGAGAACAAUGCAACAAAUGCCGUUAGGAGCCCCGGAAGACACCGGAGGACACCGGAGGACACCGGAGGACACAGAGGCACAUGAUU